rfam:Lupinus angustifolius cultivar Tanjil chromosome LG02, whole genome shotgun sequence.
UGGAAGAAUCUGUAAAGCUCAGGAGGGAUAGCGCCAUUAUAUCACAGACUAAUGAUUUAAUCAUAUGAUAUUUGGCGCUGUCCAUCCUGAGUUUCAUGGCUUCUUCAU